rnacentral:rRNA from 1 species
UACGUAGGGUGCGAGCGUUGUCCGGAAUUAUUGGGCGUAAAGAGCUCGUAGGCGGUGUGUCGCGUCGGUCGUGAAAACUUGGGGCUUAACUCUGAGCUUGCGGUCGAUACGGGCAUCACUGGAGUUCGGCAGGGGAGACUGGAAUUCCUGGUGUAGCGGUGGAAUGCGCAGAUAUCAGGAGGAACACCGGUGGCGAAGGCGGGUCUCUGGGCAGUAACUGACGCUGAGGAGCGAAAGCGUGGGGAGCGAACAGG